UAUGAGUGAUGGGGUCACUGUGGCGAACAAAUGCUGGGCACCACAUACACAUGGGUCAGUUGAUGCAGAGGACACUACGGGACACAUCUCAGGCUAUUUGUGACACACUCUGCUUGCCCGGGGGCUGGGCAGGACAGUUCCUCAGGAGCCAGCCCCCCAAGGAGGCACCAGCUGCAGGAAGACAGAAACGCUCCUAGGAGGACACUCCCCAGAGGAACCGCCACCCACACAUCUGUUGGGGUCCCUGGGAAGAUGGCGUCAUCUGAGGUCAAGGACAUGGUAUAGCAAGUGUACUCUAUCCAGAAUCCUGUGGUUUUCAUAAGCCGGAACUCAGCC
rnacentral:lncRNA from 1 species